GGGAUCUAAUUGAAUUAAUUGAAAGUUCUCAAAAGACAUUGCACAUCAAUCAAAAGUGAUAUAAAAGGACAAAUUGGAAAUUCAAGUAUGGCAUGACACAUCAAUAAAAGUUCACAAACUACUAAUGCUAAUUGACAAUAGCUGUUGACAUGGAAUUUAAGUGUGGAGAAGUCCGAUUAUGCAAGUCAAUUAACUACGUAAUUUAAUUUUCAUGUUGGCGCUGGUCAAAAUAUGUGAAAAUGCAAAGAGGUUUAUUUCGUAAACACGUAUCUUUAUUUGAUGGGAAAAUGCUAGGGCCCUUACGAGUUUUCGGUAUAAAUAUAGAUGGGUUGUUUUCUGUCUUUUAUGCCUUUAUAUACUAUGCAAGUGAAUAUCCGAAAUUCUAGCACGUAGUGGCACGUCGACGUUUAUUUGAGGUCAUACGUGGGUAUGAUGAUAACUGCCCAAAUACGUAAUUGAAUGAGAUAGAAAUUAAAAAUUAUCAAAUGUAAGACCCAAAUAAGCUCGUUUGGAAAUUGUGUAAGAGGCACAUCUCCAACGACGAGGAGUUGCGAAAUAUGUAGUCACCUUCGUGAAGUGAACAUGCAGAGGCAAUGGUGGCGAUAAUGAGCGCGGGGCCCAAGAGAAUUGAUGCUGAAACAAUGAAAAUGGUAAAGAUACGCACGGUUUUGGGAUUAAAUGGCCUCAAGUAAUCGUCAAUUUAGAAUCGUCAAUCCUACUGUCAAUCUUCCUGCUCUCCAAAUUGCAAUGAAGAAAGCAUGGCGUUUAGACCAGGUUGAUAUCUCCCUUUGUGAUGGUGGCCUGUAUAUAGUCAAAUUUCGGUUAGAAAUCGAAAAACAGAGAGUACUUGCAGGGAGUUCGUGGCUGUUCUCAGGACAUUUGUUUCAUUUCCAACCAUGGCGACCAAAUACGCCAUUACACUGCUAUGAGUUCUCCCACUGUGCCUUCUGGAUGCAUGUCAUAGGAUUACCUUUGGAGUGGAACACAGAACACAUUCUGCGUAAAGCAGUUAAGCAGGUAGGUCGUGUAAUCGAAGUUAAACCAGAUACUUCUGGGAGGGUCCGCAUACAACUUGAUUUGAAAGAACCUUUAAGGACGGGGAAGCUAAUUAGUAUCGAAGGAAAGACAUUAUGGUUAGAUUUUCGCUAUGAGCGACUCUCACAUUUCUGCUAUUCGUGCGGGAAACUAGGACACUAUGCAACAGCUUGUAAAGAAUAUCCUUAUGAGGAAGACACACAUGAUGGUUUAUCGAAACUCGCCUAUGGCCACUGGUUACGUGCGGAGGUUCGACAACAUAGCCCGUAUUGGGACACGUUCUAUAAUCCUCAGGAAUCUAUGGAGCAGAUGGAUGAAGCUGUACCUGAAACUCCCCCUGCCAUGCAAAUGCCAAUCCUAGCACUGCCUCCCAUUGUGCCAGAUUCAGCAGCUCAAGCAACGACCCCCAUCAUCCCCUCAAGAUCCUCCUCUAUGAUGGAAAUAGCCAAUCCCGCUCCAAGGACUACUGACCUGGUACCUGCAAUGGCAAAAGAGUGUUCAGACUCCUUCCCUGGAGAUUCCCAAGAAAAAAAAGCCAACAAUUCUGAAAACGAAUAAUGCUACGGGAUCAGGCAAGAAACAAAAGAGAUACUCUCCGUAUGAUAAUAGAGUUGGCUACUCAUCAGAUCUGGAUGAGACUCAACUUAUGGACACCCCUGUUUAUGCUGUAAAUGAGACAACACAGUGGGCAUUGGCGACUGGCCCCAAACAGCCACCGCAUCUCAAAUGAAGCUCCUAUGUUGGAACUGUCAGGGGUUGGGCAACCCACUGACAGUUCAAGCCCUAAAGGCCGUUUUGGCCAAAGAAAAGCCUGAUCUAGUUUUCUUAAUGGAAACUAAGAAUGUAGCUUCAGUUUUAAGUAGAUUACAGCGUCGGUUUCAUUUUCCUCACUCCUUGAUAAGGGAUCCAGUGGGCCUGGCUAGUGGUCUAGCUAUUUUUUGGACUGAGCUUUAUGCUUUAACUAUUUUGAAGUCAGCGGAGACUUAUUUUGAUCUGCUUUGCUAUGAUAUUUCUGCAGCUACUUCUAUGCAUAUCACAUGUUUGCACGCUCCUUCUACUUAUAGGGCUAGACAAGAGCUUUGGGAUAGACUCAGGGAGAUCAGUGCUGUAAAUACCUUUCCUUGGGUGUGUGUGGGGGACUUUAAUGAAAUUCUCUACCCUUGGGAAAAAGUGGGUAAGAGACCAGCUAUAUCCUCUUGCCUAGCAUCCUUUCGAGCAGUGAUUAGUGCUUGCUCUUUAUUAGAGUUGGAAAGCAAAGGGUGUGAAUUUACCUGGUCUAAUAACAGAACAGGGGCUGACCUGGUAAAGGAGAGAUUGGAUCGAGUCUUUUGCUCUUUGGAAGGGUGAUUGUUGUAUCCUACUGCAGAAGUGUUAGCCCUUCCUGCUUUAGGUUCGGAUCACUGCCCUCUUUUGCUCACCACAUCUACAAGUCCUGUCAAGCGAAAGAAGACUUUUACUUAUGAAGCUUUCUGGAACCAAGAUCAACAGUGCAAAGAAAUAAUUCAACAUUCGUGGAAUAUCUCCCGAGCAGACAAAACCUCUCUGGCGGCAAAAUUGCAGACAGUUUCUCAUGAAUUAGCAAGGUGGAGUAAAUCAAAGUUCAGUAACGGUCAUCUUCGU
rnacentral:lncRNA from 1 species